GGUGUCCAGUCGUGUGGGUGGGUAGGGGAGCGUCCCGCAUCCAGCGAAGCCGCCGGGGAACCGAGUGGUGGAGGGUGUGGGAGUGAGAAUGCAGGCAUGAGUAGCGAAUGCAGAGUGAGAAUCUCUGCCGCCGGAUGACCAAGGGUUCCUGGGCCAGGUUGUUCCGCCCAGGGUAAGUCGGGACCUAAGGCGAGGCCGACAGGCGUAGUCGAUGGACAACGGGUUGAUAUUCCCGUACCCGCGUGUGUGCGUCCCUGGUGAGGCAGGUGAGACUAACCACCCGCCCGGUAUCGUGGUCUCUUCGGAGGCCUGGUGCCUGGGUGCGUGGGACCUGAGCUUGUAGUAGCCAAGCGAUGGGGUGACGCAGGAAGGUAGCCCCGCCAGUCAGUGGUAAUACUGGUGUAAGCGUGUGGCCCGCAGAGCAGGGAAAUCCGUUCUGCUGUCUUCGAUGACGAGGGUGAGGCGUGAUGCAUAGCCGUUGUGGCGAAGUAGGGUGAUCCUCAGCUGCCGAGAAAAGCCUCUAGCGAGUGUACGCGUGGCCCGUACCCCAAACCGACACAGGUGGUCAGGUAGAGAAUACCAAGGCGAUCGGGUGAACUGUGGUUAAGGAACUCGGCAAAUUGCCCCCGUAACUUCGGGAGAAGGGGGGCCAAAACACCUGAAGCCCUGCGCGGGCUAGGGUGGGUUGGCCGCAGAGACCAGCGGAAAGCGACUGUUUACUAAAAACACAGGUCCAUGCGAAGACGUAAGUCGAUGUAUAUGGACUGACGCCUGCCCGGUGCUGGAACGUUAAGAGGACCGGUUAACCCUCCUUGUGGGGGUGAAGCUGAGAAUUUAAGCGCCAGUAAACGGCGGUGGUAACUAUAACCAUCCUAAGGUAGCGAAAUUCCUUGUCGGGUAAGUUCCGACCUGCACGAAUGGCGUAACGACUUUCCGGCUGUCUCAACCACAGGCCCGGCGAAAUUGCACUACGAGUAAAGAUGCUCGUUUCGCGCGGCAGGACGGAAAGACCCCGGGACCUUUACUAUAGCUUGGUAUUGGUUUUCGGUUCGGCUUGUGUAGGAUAGGUGGGAGACUGGGAAGCGGUCACGCUAGUGAUCGUGGAGUCAUCGUUGAAAUACCACUCUGGCCGGAUUGGGAAUCUAACCUCGGACCGUGAUCCGGUUCAGGGACAGUGCCUGGUGGGUAGUUUAACUGGGGCGGUUGCCUCCCAAAGAGUAACGGAGGCGCCCAAAGGUUCCCUCAGCCUGGUUGGCAAUCAGGUGUCGAGUGUAAGUGCACAAGGGAGCUUGACUGUGAGACUGGCAGGUCGAGCAGGUGCGAAAGCAGGGACUAGUGAUCCGGCACCUCCUGGUGGAAGGGGUGUCGCUCAACGGAUAAAAGGUACCCCGGGGAUAACAGGCUGAUCUUGCCCAAGAGUCCAUAUCGACGGCAUGGUUUGGCACCUCGAUGUCGGCUCGUCGCAUCCUGGGGCCGGAGUAGGUCCCAAGGGUUGGGCUGUUCGCCCAUUAAAGCGGCACGCGAGCUGGGUUUAGAACGUCGUGAGACAGUUCGGUCCCUAUCCGCCGCGCGCGUUGGAGACUUGAGGAAGGCUGUCCCUAGUACGAGAGGACCGGGACGGACGAACCUCUGGUAUGCCAGUUGUCCCACCAGGGGCACGGCUGGUUAGCUACGUUCGGAAGGGAUAACCGCUGAAGGCAUCUAAGCGGGAAGCCUGUUCCAAGAUGAGGUCUCCCACCACCAUCGAGUGGGUAAGGCCCCCCAAAGACGAUGGGGUUGAUAGGCCAGACAUGGAAGCACAGCAAUGUGUUCUCGAGUGGACUGGUACUAAUCGGCCGAGGGCUUGACCA
rnacentral:rRNA from 1 species